rnacentral:rRNA from 1 species
AUUGAACGCUGGCGGAAUGCUUUACACAUGCAAGUCGAACGGUAGAGGGGGCAACCCCUCGAGAGUGGCGAACGGGUGAGUAAUAUAUCGGAACGUGCCCAGUCGUGGGGGAUAACGUAGCGAAAGUUACGCUAAUACCGCAUACGAUCUAAGGAUGAAAGCGGGGGAUCGCAAGACCUCGCGCGAUUGGAGCGGCCGAUAUCAGAUUAGGUAGUUGGUGGGGUAAAGGCUCACCAAGCCAACGAUCUGUAGCUGGUCUGCGAGGACGACCAGCCACACGGGAACUGAGACCAGGUCCAGACUCCUACGGGAGGCAGCAGUGGGGAAUUUUGGACAGUGGACGCAAGUCUGAUCCAGCCAUUCCGCGUGCAGGAUGAAGGCCCUCGGGUUGUAAACUGCUUUUGUACGGAACGAAAAGGUCUCUCUUAAUACGGGGGACUCAUGACGGUACCGUAAGAGUAAGCACCGGCUAACUACGUGCCAGCCGCCGCCGUAAGAC